rnacentral:rRNA from 5 species
CAUGUCUUUUUGAUAAUAAUUUCAAGUCUGAUCUGCUCAAUGAUGAAUUAAAUUGCCGCAGUAUUUUGACUGUGCAAAGGUAGCAUAAUAAUUAGUUUCUUAAUUAGAAGCUUGAAUGAAGGAUUAGACGAGAAGAUUACUGUCUCUUUUUAAUUGUUAUAUAAUUUUAUUUUUAAGUUAAAAAGCUUAAAUUUUUUUAAAAGACGAGAAGACCCUAUAGAGUUUAAUAUAUUUUAUUUAUUAAUUUAUUAGAAGUUUUAAUAAAUUAAUAUAUUUAAUUGGGGUGAUUAAAAGAUUUAGAUAAUUCUUUUAUGAUUUAAUUGAUGAUUAUUAAAUUUUAAGUCUUAAGUUAUAAAGAUUAAAAUAAAUUACCUUAGGGAUAACAGCGUAAUUUUUCUUUAAAGUUCUUAUUAAAAGAAGAGUUUGCGACCUCGAUGUUGGAUUAAAAUUAAUUUUUGGUGAAGAAGCUAAAAAAUUAGGUCUGUUCGACCUUUAAAAUUUUACAUGAUCUGAGUUUAAACCGGUGUGAGCCAGGUUGGAUUCUAUCUUUAAUUUUAUGGGGUGUUUUAGUACGAAAGGACCAAAUACUUAUUAAAUAUUAAUUA